rnacentral:rRNA from 1 species
GUCUGUUUGGAGCUAUAAGAAGUCUAACCUGCCCACUGAUUAAAUAUUAAAGGGCCGCAGUAGUAUAACUGUGCAAAGGUAGCAUAAUCAUUAGGUUUUUAAUUGGAAUCUUGAAUGAAUGGUUGGACAAAAGGAACACUGUCUUUGUAUUAAGUUUUGAAUUUAACUUUUAAGUGAAAAGGCUUAAAUAUUCUAAAAAGACGAUAAGACCCUAUAAAACUUUACAUUAGGGUUAAAUUUUUGUUGAAUUUAAUAAUAAAAGAUUAAUUUAAUUAUUUGUUAUGUUGGGGAGAUACAGGUAAAUAUUUUAUUAACUGCUUAUAAAGUAAACACAUACUAGUGGGCAAUAAUAGAUCCUUGUUAAAGAUUAUUGAAUUAAGUUACUUUAGGGAUAACAGCGUUAUUUUUUUUGAGAGUUCAUAUCGAAAAAAAAGGUUGCGACCUCGAUGUUGAAUUAAAAUAUCUAUAUAAUGCAGUAGUUAUAUGGGAAGGUCUGUUCGACCUUUAAAAUUUUACAUGAUUUGAGUUCAAACCGGCGUGAG